UACGGAGGGGGCUAGCGUUGUCCGGAGUUACUGGGCGUAAAGCGCGCGUAGGCGGGUUGGUAAGUCCGCUGUGAAAGCCCGGAGCUCAACUCCGGAGGGUCGGUGGAUACUGCCAGUCUUGAAGGUGCUAGGGGGAGAUGGAAUUACCGGUGUAGCGGUGAAAUGCGUAGAUAUCGGUAGGAACACCAGUGGCGAAGGCGGUCUCCUGGGGCAUUCUUGACGCUGAGGCGCGAAAGCUGGGGGAGCAAACGGG
rnacentral:rRNA from 1 species